AUUGAACGCUGGCGGCAGGCUUAACACAUGCAAGUCGAGCGGGGUGAUGUAGCUUGCUACCUAACCUAGCGGCGGACGGGUGAGUAAUGCUUAGGAAUCUGCCUAGUAGUGGGGGACAACAUUCCGAAAGGAAUGCUAAUACCGCAUACGCCCUACGGGGGAAAGCAGGGGAUCUUCGGACCUUGCGCUAAUAGAUGAGCCUAAGUCAGAUUAGCUAGUUGGUGGGGUAAAGGCCUACCAAGGCGACGAUCUGUAGCGGGGCUGAGAGGAUGAUCCGCCACACUGGGACUGAGACACGGCCCAGACUCCUACGGGAGGCAGCAGUGGGGAAUAUUGGACAAUGGGCGAAAGCCUGACCCAGCCAUGCCGCGUGUGUGAAGAAGGCCUUUUGGUUGUAAAGCACUUUAAGCGAGGAGGAGGCUACUUAGAUUAAUACUCUAGGAUAGUGGACGUUACUCGCAGAAUAAGCACCGGCUAACUCUGUGCCAGCAGCCGCCGCAGUAA
rnacentral:rRNA from 1 species